rnacentral:misc_RNA from 1 species
GAUGAAGAACGCAGCGAAAUGCGAUAAGUAGUGUGAAUUGCAGAAUUCAGUGAAUCAUCGAAUCUUUGAACGCACAUUGCGCCCUUUGGUAUUCCUUAGGGCAUGCCUGUUCGAGCGUCAUUUAAACCUUCAAGCUCAGCUUGGUGUUGGGUGACUGUCCGCUUCACCGCGGGCUCGCCUCAAAAUUAUUGGCGGCCGGUACAUUGGCUCUCGAGCGCAGCAGAAACGCGUAACUCGAGGUCCUCGUGCUGGCUCCCAGAAGCUAUCUUCACAAUUUUGACCUCGGAUCAGGUAGGGAUACCCGCUGAACUUAAGCAUAUCAAUAAGCGGAGGA